AACGAACGCUGGCGGCAGGCCUAACACAUGCAAGUCGAGCGCGCCCUUCGGGGUGAGCGGCGGACGGGUGAGUAACGCGUGGGAACGUGCCCUUUUCUACGGAAUAGUCUCGGGAAACUGAGAGUAAUACCGUAUACGCCCUUCGGGGGGGAAGAUUUAUCGGGAAAGGAUCGGCGCGCGUUGGAUUAGGUUGUUGGUAGGGUAAUGGCCUACCAAGCUGACGAUCCAUAGCUGGUUUGAGAGGAUGAUCAGCCACACUGGGACUGAGACACGGCCCAGACUCCUACGGGAAGCAGCAGUGGGGAAUCUUAGACAAUGGAGGCAACCCUGAUCUAGCCAUGCCGCGUGAGUGAUGAAGGCCUUAGGGUUGUGAAGCUCUUUCAGCUGGGAAGAUAAUGACGGUACCAGCAGAAGAAGCCCCGGCUAACUUCGUG
rnacentral:rRNA from 1 species